UACGGGGGGGGGCAAGCGUUGUUCGGAAUUACUGGGCGUAAAGGCUCGUAGGUGGCCAACUAAGUCAGACGUGAAAUCCCUCGGCUUAACCGGGGAACUGCGUCUGAUACUGGAUGGCUUGAGUUCGGGAGAGGGAUGCGGAAUUCCAGGUGUAGCGGUGAAAUGCGUAGAUAUCUGGAGGAACACCGGUGGCGAAGGCGGCAUCCUGGACCGACACUGACACUGAGGAGCGAAAGCCAGG
rnacentral:rRNA from 1 species